AACGAACGCUGGCGGCAGGCUUAACACAUGCAAGUCGAGCGCCCCGCAAGGGGAGCGGCAGACGGGUGAGUAACACGUGGGAAUCUACCCAACCCUACGGAACAACUCCGGGAAACUGGAGCUAAUACCGUAUACGCCCUACGGGGGAAAGAUUUAUCGGGGAUGGAUGAGCCCGCGUUGGAUUAGCUAGUUGGUGGGGUAAAGGCCUACCAAGGCGACGAUCCAUAGCUGGUCUGAGAGGAUGAUCAGCCACAUUGGGACUGAGACACGGCCCAAACUCCUACGGGAGGCAGCAGUGGGGAAUAUUGGACAAUGGACGCAAGCCUGAUCCAGCCAUGCCGCGUGAGUGAUGAAGGCCUUAGGGUUGUAAAGCUCUUUCGCCGACGAAGAUAAUGACGGUAGUCGGAGAAGAAGCCCCGGCUAACUUCGUGCCAGCCGCCGCAGUAAAAC
rnacentral:rRNA from 1 species